GGGUCUGUAGCUCAGCUGGUUAGAGCACGCGUCUUAUAAGCGUGAGGUCGGAGGUUCAAGUCCUCCCAGGCCCACC
rnacentral:tRNA from 1 species